rnacentral:rRNA from 1 species
UACGUAGGAGGCAAGCGUUGUCCGGAAUUACUGGGCGUAAAGCGCGUGUAGGUGGUGGGACAAGUCUGCUGUGAAAGCGCCUGGCUUAACCGGGCGAGGUCGGCGGAAACUGUUCGACUCGAGGACGGUAGAGGGGGGUGGAAUUCCCGGUGUAGUGGUGAAAUGCGUAGAUAUCGGGAGGAACACCAGUGGCGAAGGCGACUCCUGGCCUGUUCUUGACGCUGAGGCGCGAAAGCUAGGGGAGCAAAC